CAAGGCCAUGGCCCAGUCAGGAAGCUGGGACUGGAAUCCACCUGCCCGCCUCUCCCCUUCUUGCUCGUCUUUUCCUCUUUUUCCCAGCACAGGGCAGCUGGGCAUUGAUGGCAUGUGACUGUCCAUGGCUGGGGCUUGAUUCAUUGUGGACAGAGCAAACAUGGGAUUGGCCCUGCCUGGGAAGUCCACUCUGGCUGUUUUCUGACACUCGGUUGUGUAAUGGGAGACUGGGAACGGUAGAUGCUGCCAGUCCCGGAAGAGCUGCCUUGUGGUCCCCAACAAUCUCCUACCUGCCCCUGCCAGGUAGGAGCUGGCCCAGCUUCAGAGGCCUCGCUGGCCAGGUCACAGAGGCCCUCCUGGGAGUACAGGCUGGGAGUCGUGAAUGUCACAGCUUUAACAUGGCCCGUCUUCUCUUCCCUCUGGCCCUUCCUCCUGACUCUCUCAUCCCCUCCGCGUCUCCAAAACCGUGCAGAUCCUGCUGACGCCUCUGGAGCUCUGACCGUGGCACGGAGCACUGUCCUGUCCCCUGGCUCAGCUGGCUGCCUCCUGGACGCUCCACAGUGCCCCAGUGCAGCUCAAACCCACCUCGGCCACCAGCCCAAACCCUGCUCUCCUGUGCAACCUGUGGCCUGUCCUACUCCCUGGGGCUCCCACAGCCUAUGCUAUAGCAUCCCCAGAUACGCAGUGUGGCCUUUACUUCCAAGCCUUGGCAGGUGCUGUACCCUCUCCUCCCAGUGCCUUUUGUCACCUGGCAAACCUUUGUUCAACCUCUAUCAGCAUCAGCUCGGAUGGUUAGUUUUAUGUGUCACGUUAACUGGGCCAUGCGGUACCUAGAUAUUUAGUCAAAUAUUCUGGGUGUAUCUGUGAGGGUGUUUUUAGAUGAGAUUAACAUUUCAAUGUGUACUCUGAGUAAAGCAGAUUGCCACCUCCCCCCGAGUGUGGGUGGGCCUCAUCUAAUCUGUUGAAGGCCUCAAUAGAAUUAAGAGUCUGCGUAAGAGCCUGACUGGUGGAGAUGGAUGUCCGUCUUUUGCAGCCUUUGGACGUGAACUGAAACAUCGCUUCUUCCCAGCUCUCCAGCCUGCCAGACUUUACACUAGAAGGACACCAUCAGCUCUCCUGGGGCUUGAAUUGGCCAACUCACUCUGCAGAUCCUGGGACUUGCCAACGAUCAUAAUCAUGUAAGAAAUGCUCAUAUUGAAGCACUGUCCGCAAGGGCCGAAAGAUGGAAACAACCCAGAUGUCCAUCAGAGGAUGAGCAGAGAACAAAAAUGCGGUAUAUCCAUACAGUAGAAUAUGAGUGAGUCAUAAAAAAGAAUGAAGUACUGUAUGGAAACAUAUACCACAAGGGGGAACCUUGAAAUCAUGAUACAUGAAAGAAGUCAAUCACAGAAGACGUAAUCAACUGAAGAUGAGCUCAUUCAUGUGGGCCCUCAUCCACUAUGACUGGUGUCCUUAUAAAAAGAUGUGCGGAGACACACGGGAGAAAGAAUGCCACGUGACUAAAGAGGCAGAGACCACGGUGUUCCAGCUGGAAGCCGAGGAAUGCCUGGGGCCACCGGAAACUGAUCAGGGUAAGGAACCUCUCCUAGAAGCAUGGGGGAUGGGGGGCACUGGCAUCACUUGGAUUUCAGACUUCCAGGUUGCAGAGCUGGGAGAGAAUGCAUUUCUGCUGUCCUAAGCCUCCAGGUUUGCGAUGCUGUUACAGCAACCCUAGGGAAGGAAUACGCCAUGGGACCCGGACCACCCCCUUUCAGUACUCACCCCCGUGUUGACCCCAUGCCAUCUCUCUCUCUCUCUCUCUCUCUCUGCUUCCCUUCUUUGGGGAAAGCAGCAUCAACAGGGCAUCCCCUGAGCAUCUUUUCUCCCCCUCCCCCACCCCCAGCCGGGCUGGAAACCUCCCUCCGGGGGCUGUUCAAAGAAGCACACAGCCACAGAUGCAUCAUUCCAUUGCCUCAGUUUUAAAUAUUUAUUUAAAAUCCAGAAGGGAAAAAGGAGAAACGGAACCCGCUGGGGUUUUAACACACUGACAUGUGGACAGACACAAA